rnacentral:rRNA from 1 species
UACAGAGGGGGCAAGCGUUGUUCGGAAUUACUGGGCGUAAAGGGCGCGCAGGCGGCCUGUUAAGUCGGACGUGAAAUCCCUGGGCUCAACCCAGGAACUGCGUCCGAUACUGGCAGGCUUGAAUUCGGGAGAGGGAUGCGGAAUUCCAGGUGUAGCGGUGAAAUGCGUAGAUAUCUGGAGGAAUACCGGUGGCGAAGGCGGCAUCCUGGACCGAGAUUGACGCUGAACGGCGAAAGCUAGGGGAGCAAACGGG